GUAUAUGAAAUCUGGUAAACUGUGGCAGAUUGCCAAAAAUGGGAUAUUUCCAAGUAAUUUUAUUAGCUGUUGGAAAACCUGGCUUAGCUAGCAGCCAGAUCGUACUUCAGAUUGUGUAACAAAUUCAGAAAUCAUGGUUGUGAUUUUAUGCACAUCACCAGUUGCCAGUACAAUCCUGUUUAUAGCCUGAACCAUGACGUCUAACCAGUGCUUUGUUUUGUAAAAAAAAAUGUUUAGGGGUACUCUCAUUUUCCUGCUCAUAUUGAAAUACUGCCCCUCAAUGAGGCCAAACCUAGAUUCACAAAAUGUUUAGGGGUAUGCGUACCCCUGCGUCCCCCCAGAAAAAAGCACCGCUUCUAACCCAACAAAUGGAAGGCAGUGCACCAGCCAUGUUUUGAGUGGAGGCCCAUCUUGGAUUUAAAGUUGAUUUUGCUGCCUGCCUAAUAUUGCAGGAAGAUGAGGGGUUACCAAGUGCUUGAAAGGCCACAAUCCACAGCUAGUAGGCUGCAUUUGGUGUGCUGGGUAAUAAACGCAGACCUGAGCAGACCACAUAAAUUCUAGUGUGGUGCUUUAAUAAAGCAAGAGAACCACAACAUAAAAUUAUGUGUCAUUUGUCUGGCAUGCCUUGCUGUUAAUUACCAUCCAGUGAUUAUUAUAUUAGCCACAUGGAGAGGCUAAUUGCAAAUGACUGGCUGAAUGGAAGUACCUGACCCUGAUAAAUGUAAAUUCCACCCUGCUGGCCCUUUCGACUUAAGUUAGGCUUGUGCUUGAAGAUCACUUGGAGGGCCAAAGAACCCACAUUCACUGUAGACUGAUCCCUCCCACCAGCCUAUAUAGUUUGUGGUGUGAUUUACUCAUAUCUGUUGUGUAUGUAGUGCAAUGGACUAGCACAAUUUAAGUUACUAACAACAUCCCUGCUUGUAAACAGUAAGGUAUAAACUUCAGUGUACUACAGAGCUUUGGGCAAAUAAAAACAUUAAUUGAUUGUCUAAUAUCUAGGAUAAAGUUUCUCUCUCUUUCAGAUCAUUUCAAGAUUAUAAAAGCAUUCACUCCCAAGGAAAUAGAAAAAUGAUAAUUCCAAAUGGAAAUAAGAACAGCAAGAGCCUUGAUGUAUAUCAGAAAUGCUGCCACCUUUCAAAAACCUGUGAUUUAUUAUUCAUUAUUAUGUAUUUAAAAGCACACCUUCUAAGUCUGGCAUUUUGACUUUACUGAGUUAUAUAAGGUUUUUACAAGGCUACUUAGAAAGUAAUCAUUACGAGCUAAAGGAAAAACUUAAAUCAGGUCGGACAGCAAUAGAUAGGGACACUUUAGGCUUACUGUUUCUUGUAAUACACUUAGGUCCAAAUGCUAAUGGUUGAGUGGUAUAUAAAUGCCUUAAAUAAAAGAAAAUAAAUGAAUAAAUAAAUAAAUAAACAAUAAAGGGGGAGAUACCACAAUUCCAAACAAAGAAAGAAUGUGCAGUGCUUUAAACUCUCAGCAAUAAUUUUAACAAAGCUAGAUAAGAGGAAUAGUCAUGUCAUAGUUGUUGCUUAAGCCCAUGCUCCAGGCGUCUAACUGCCCUUUCCCUGACUGUCGCUCUGCCCUGCAUAUAGUGUUAAGCUCUGAGGUGCUUCAAAUCAGGCCAGGCAAUAAUAGUUAUGUGACAAAUUUAAAGGGGAUGGACAUGUGUACCUAUUAUUUAUCAAUAGCACCCCCAUUGGCAGCGGUGGAGCAAGCCAAUUGGGCGCCUGGGGCAGCAUGCGUGCCCUGUGCCCAUGGACGGGGCCAGCUGCCCACGGGGGCGGAGCCAGCUGGGACAGGACGUUCCAUGGGGCCUCCAAGGAGUCUGCAUGCCUCCUCCCACUCAGCCACCCUACAGCUGAGGGGGAGGCAGUGGGUGGGCCGUUUGGGGCAGCACAGAGCCUGUGGGUGCCCAAGCCACCGCGUCACUCCCAGGAGAGACGUGUGGCUUGGGUGCGCUGUAGGCCCUGCCAUGAGUGCCACCCAGCAUUUUGUCAUCCCUGGGGCAGUGACAUCCGGAGCGGCCUUCCCUCACCACACACCCCUUCCUCCGCCCCUGCCCAUUGGUGGUGCUGUGGAGCCGACCUGCACAACAAUAUCAGGAGCAUUUUUAGGGGGUGCCUAGGAGGGCAAACCCUGUGCUGGACCCUGGAUCUCCUGCUCAUUUCCCUUUAUUUAAAAAACUUGGUUGUUGCUUAUUUGUGAGCUGUCUUCCAGCUUAAUUUGCCCAGAGGCAAUUCUAUAUAGAAAUUCUCAAAUGUGAAUUUGGAUCUGUGCCCCAAGUCCCUUUAGUGCCUAGAAAUGCCUCUGAUUAGGGAACUCGAAGAACUGCCUGUUUCCACAUAUGCUUUCCUGUACACAGUCAUAGAAUUGUAGAUCACAACGGUGAUCUAGUUCAACCCCCUACAAUGCAAUAAUCUCAACUAAAGCAUCCAUGACAGAUGUCCACUCAACCAUGAUGUGAAAUUCAGGCCCUUAUUAGUGACGGCUGCCAAGAAGGCUUACCUUAUGCCUACUAUUACAUUUUUGGGGCCCUACGAUUAUAUUUUGGGCCAGGCGAAAAUAUUCUUUUUUUCUGGCUUGAUUUGUUUUGUUUGUUUGCUGUUUGUUUUUUUGUUAAUUGCUUUCAUGCCGCUUUGAAUUUGUUUUUAUCUUUGCUUAUUGCUUUCAUGCUUCUGUUGAAAACCUUUGUUGCUUCUAAUGUUUUGUUUUAAAUUGCUUUUACUGCAGUUUUUGCUUCUUUGAAAGGUGCCCUGGAAGUCUGUUGAAUCGAAGGGGUGGAAAGCCAAUAAAUAAAUAAUCUGAUGCAGCGGACUCUUGGCUAACUGACUGUCGAUAUCACAAUGUAAAGAAUAACACCAUAAUACAUCUCACAUUGUCCAACUUCACCUGAAGCUCUCCCAGAAUCGCAAGGCACGGGGCUUACAGACAUUCUUUGAAGAUUGUAUCUUUACCCUGCCUGCAGAGACUGUCAGAUGCCUGACAGUCAGAGUUACAGAAGUUUGCAUCUCUAUCUGGAUGAGUGAUGGUGUAGCAUUGGAAAGUAUUAUUGUAAUAAAUAUAUAUUUUCUUUUUCCGAAUCGAUCACAUCCAGGGCUUUUUUUUCAGCUGGAGCCAAUGGAGCCAACUCCAGGAGGCCCAGGCACACACAAAAUUUUUGCUUUGGGUGCCCGGCCUCUGCACCCCCCUCACCGCCAUGUGUCAACCACCAGCCGCCGCCUUACUUCUCCCGCUUCAGCAGAGCACGCAGGCUCCAGCUCAGUUUCCUCCUCAGGGUCCCACUGUGGCCAUGGGCGUGCUUCAUGCUGUUAUGGCGCCAGCACACACACUGGGAACCCACAGUCUGGGGCCAAAGUCGGUGCCUCUGGCUGAAGCUCACCUCUCAGGUGUGCACCCUUGCUCUUCUAAGAGAACAAGGGAAAAGUUCGUGGUGAGCUCCAGCACAUCUUUUUCUAUAAAAAGAACACUGCUCUGAUCACAUUUUGAGGAGGGGGGGACAAAACAAAUCACACUGCUCAGUGGAAAUAAGAGGAAAUCGUGUUGCACAGUUAAAAUCCUAGAACUUAGUAUCAGCUUUUGGUUGGAGAAAUAAUUUAAAACUCAUUACAGUUAGAAAGGCCAUAUCUACUCAUAUCUGAAGCUGGGAACACCAAGGUCAUGUACCUAUCAUAAUUAAAGGCUUUACUUGUGUUGAUACUGGCUGGAGUCCUGGAUGUAGCUGUCUUAAGAGUUAGAUUUUGCAAAGACUUCUAGCUCUUAAAUUACAUUAGGUUCAUUUUUAAAGUUUCAUUUCCUGCUGUCUUUCAUAAUAAAGAGUAGUAGAAAGAUACUGCCUUUCACGUUCAGUCGAUGCUAUAGCAGUGCUCAUUAAUUCUCCCUCUAGGAUUCUGUCCUCAUAGGUGAGGCCUCUUCCUGUGAAAAGCACAAAUUACUGAAGAAGUGGCGCAUUUAUUGUAUAUGGGUUGCCUUAAAAUAAUUGCACUCGGGAGCUCCUGUCUGAGUAGAUUCCUCAGCUGUUGUGAAAAGCUCCACCCCUGCAUGCUGUGAGGCAGCAGGCAUCGGGCUGGAAGCAGAAGUUCAUAUCUGCCCCACUUAGGGGAGGGGAGAGCUGGUAGACUAAAUAUUCAAUUGUAUGUAGCUGCUACCUUUUUCCAGCUGAUGCUUGCAAGUCCCGUGUGCUGUGCCGCCCCUGAUUUCUC